ACGCGUAAGAACUUGCCUCUUAGACCGGGACAACAUCUGGAAACGGAUGCUAAUACCGGAUAUUAUGGUUUCUUCGCAUGGAGGAAUCAUGAAAGCUACAUGCGCUAAGAGAGAGCUUUGCGUCCCAUUAGCUCGUUGGUGAGGUAACGGCCCACCAAGGCAAUGAUGGGUAGCCGGCCUGAGAGGGUGAACGGCCACAAGGGGACUGAGACACGGCCCUUACUCCUACGGGAGGCAGCAGUGGGGAAUAUUGGACAAUGGACCACAAGUCUGAUCCAGCAAUUCUGUGUGCACGAUGACGUUUUUCGGAAUGUAAAGUGCUUUCAGUCGGGAAGAAGUCAGUGACGGUACCGACAGAAGAAGCGACGGCUAAAUACGUGCCAGCAGCCGCGGUAAUACGUAUGUCGCAAGCGUUAUCCGGAUUUAUUGGGCGUAAAGCGCGUCUAGGCGGCAAGGAAAGUCUGAUGUGAAAAUGCGGAGCUCAACUCCGUAUGGCGUUGGAAACUGCCUUACUAGAGUACUGGAGAGGUAGGUGGAACUACAAGUGUAGAGGUGAAAUUCGUAGAUAUUUGUAGGAAUGCCGAUGGGGAAGCCAGCCUACUGGACAGAUACUGACGCUAAAGCGCGAAAGCGUGGGUAGCAAACAGGAUUAGAUACCCUGGUAGUCCACGCUGUAAACGAUGAUUACUAGGUGUUGGGGGUCAAACCUCA
rnacentral:rRNA from 1 species